CACCUCCAAGCUCCUUGAAUCCUUCUUGUGUUUUCCUCCCUUUAGUGCUCCUUUGAUGAUUUGAGGAAAAAAGGAUUUGUUCUCCAAAACACCAAAAGCUUGAUGUCUCUAAGUCUCUUCACCAAGGUUGUAUCUUGUGAAGAUGAUAUGGAUGAUUAAAAGAAGAAGAGAUUGCUAGAUGUUUUUUCCUUUAAUGGCCGGCCUCUUGGAAGAAAAUGGAGAACAUGUUUUCACCCAAUUUCAACUAGAAAACCCUUGAAGCUAUAAAGUUGAAUUUAUACUUCAUUUCUU
rnacentral:lncRNA from 1 species